AGCGCGAUUGCGAUUUAGGUUUCCGCGCAUUUAAUUGGCGAAGCUGGAGCGCUAGUCUUCGCUGAUUGGUGCCGAGAAAUCUGCCCCAUAGACACCCGCGGGGCGCACAGUUUCAGUCGUCCGUGGGUUUCCCGCCAGCCGCAGUCUUGGACCAUAAUCAUGGUGGACAUGAUGGACUUGCCCAGGUCGCGCAUCAACGCCGGCAUGCUAGCUCAAUUCAUCGACAAGCCUGUCUGCUUCGUAGGGAGGCUGGAAAAGAUUCAUCCCACCGGAAAAAUGUUUAUUCUUUCAGAUGGAGAAGGAAAAAAUGGAACCAUCGAGUUGAUGGAACCCGUAUGUUUAAGUGUUAAUAAGUCUCUUAUAUAUUAUAGUUAAUUCUUCAUCUUGAUUUGGUUUGUUGCCGAUGUUUCUAAUUUUUGCAAUGGAUUUAAAAAGGAUGAGCUGGUAAAACGUCCCUGGCUGUAAAAUUUAAUUCUUGUACUAUUCUCUCAUUAUAUUUCCUUUUACAUUUUUAACCAAUGAUUUUUUGGGCGUCAUGAUUUUUGAACAUAUCCCAUAAAUGUUGGAUAACAAUUCUCAUUCCUUAUGAAAGACCAUAAAAUCACAUAAGAAAAAUUUACGUUGCUUUUUUCUUCCUCAAGAGGUUUUUUGUUUCGUUUUUGUUUUUUUGUUUUGAGACAGGGUCUCACUCUGUUACCCCGGGUGGAAUGCAGUGGCACCAUCAUGGCGCACUGCAGCCUUAGCCUCCCAAGAUCAAGUUGCUCCCAUGUCAGCCUCCCCAGUAGCUGGGACUACAGGCAUGCUUAACCAUGCCUGGCUAAUUUUUGUUUUGUUUUGUUUUGUUUUGUUUUGUUUUGUUUUUUGUAAAGAUGGCAUCUCCCUAUGUUCCUCAGGCUGGUCUUGAACUCUCGGUCUCAAGCAAUCCUCCUGCCUCGACCAGCCCCUCAAGAGUUUUCGAUUUUAUUUUAUUUUCUAUUUUUGUUCAUAUA
rnacentral:lncRNA from 10 species